CCUUGCUAUUGCGUUAGGACUGGACUUGUGCAGGAUAGCUGGGAGGCAGAGAAGCUGGCGCGCCAGCGUCGGUGGAGCCGCUGUUGAGAUAACAGCCUGGUGCAGUCGUGGCCCUAACCGGUGAACAAGCAGCGGGACAGUGGCAGGGGGGUAGUUUGACUGGGGCGGUCGCCUCCUAAAAGGUAACGGAGGCUUCCAAAGGUACCCUCAGCACGCUUGGUAACCGUGCGUAGAGUGCAAAGGCAUAAGGGUGCUUAACUGCGAGACAUACACGUCGAGCAGGUACGAGAGUAGGGCUUAGUGAUCCAGCGGUUCCGUAUGGAAGGACCGUUGCUCAUCGGACAAAAGGUACGCCGGGGAUAACAGGCUGAUCUCCCCCAAGAGUUCACAUCGACGGGGAGGUUUGGCACCUCGAUGUCGGCUCAUCGCAUCCUGGGGCUGGAGAAGGUCCCAAGGGUUUGGCUGUUCGCCAAUUAAAGCGGUACGUGAGCUGGGUUUAGAACGUCGUGAGACAGUUCGGUCCCUAUCUGAUACGGGCGUAGGAGAUUUGAGGAGAGUCGUCCCUAGUACGAGAGGACCAGGAUGAACCGGCCGCCAGUGCACCUGUUGUGACGCCAGUUGCAUCGCAGGGUAGCUGCGCCGGGAAGGGAUAAGCGCUGAAAGCAUCUAAGCGCCAAGCCCACUCCAAGAUGAGAUCUCCCGAACUUCGGUUCCUGAAGACCCCUGGAAGAUGACCAGGUUGAUAGGUCACUGGUGUACGCGCAGCGAUGCGUUGAGCCUAGUGAUACUAAUCGGUCGUGCGACUUAACCGU
rnacentral:rRNA from 1 species